rnacentral:rRNA from 1 species
UACGAGGGGGGCAAGUGUUGUUCGGAAUCACUGGGCGUAAAGGGAGCGUAGGCGGAUGUUUAAGUCGGGUGUUUAAAACCGGGGCCCAACCCCGGAGCGGCACCCGAAACUGGGCAUCUUGAAUAGGUCAGAGGCUGGUGGAAUUGGAGGAGUAGCGGUGGAAUGCGUAGAGAUCUCCAAGAACACCUAUUGCGAAGGCAGCCAGCUGGGACCAUAUUGACGCUGAGGCUCGAAAGCAUGGGGAGCAAACAGG